AACAACAGAAGGACUACAAACGGAGGUACAACUAUGUAGCCCAAAAGAUUCAUUGGAAUUUAUGUCACAAGUACCUCCCAAUAACAACAACAACAGAAGGACUACAAACGGAGGUACAUGAGGUACAAAGGAUGAGGAAGAACGGAUCUGAUUUUAUGUUUGAAAUGUAUAUUUUUAAUUCAUAAUGUAUUUUAAUAGUUUUAACUGUUUUAUGUGCUGUUUUAUAUUGGUUUGUAUGGGCAUCUAAUUGUAGCCACUGUUGUAAGCCGCCCUGAAUCCCGUUGGGUGAGAAGGGCGGGAUAUAAAUGUGAGAAAUAAAUAAACAAUACAACUAUGUGGCCCAAAAGAUUCAUUGGCAUUUAUGUCACAAGUACCUCCCAAUAACAACAACAGAAGGACUACAAACAGAGGUACAUCUGUGUGGCCCAAAAGAUUCAUUAGAAUUUAUGUCACAAGUACCUCCCAAUAACAACAACAGAAGGACUACAAACGGAAGUACAACUAUGUGGCCCAAAAGAUUCAUUGGAAUUUAUGUCACAAGUACCUCCCAAUAACAACAACAGAAGGACUACAAACGGAGGUACAACUAUGUAGCCCAAAAGAUUCAUUGGAAUUUAUGUCACAAGUACCUCCCAAUAACAACAACAACAGAAGGACUACAAACGGAGGUACAUGAGGUACAAAGGAUGAGGAAGAACGGAUCUGAUUUUAUGUUUGAAAUGUAUAUUUUUAAUUCAUAAUGUAUUUUAAUAGUUUUAACUGUUUUAUGUGCUGUUUUAUAUUGGUUUGUAUGGGCAUCUAAUUGUAGCCACUGUUGUAAGCCGCCCUGAAUCCCUUUGGGUGAGAAGGGCGGGAUAUAAAUGUGAGAAAUAAAUAAACAAUACAACUAUGUGGCCCAAAAGAUUCAUUGGAAUUUAUGUCACAAGUACUUCCCAAUAACAACAACAGAAGGAUUACAAAAGGAGGUUCAACUAUGUGGCCCAAAAGAUUCAUUGGAAUUUAUGUCACAAGUACUUCCCAAUAUCAACAACAGAAGGACUACAAACGGAGGUACAUCUGUGUGGCCCAAAAGAUUCAUUAGAAUUUGUCACAAGUACUUCCCAAUAACAACAACAGAAGGACUACAAACGGAAGUACAACUAUGUGGCCCAAAAGAUUCAUUGGAAUUUAUGUCACAAGUACCUCCCAAUAACAGCAACAGAAGGACUACAAACGGAAGUACAACUAUGUGGCCCAAAAGAUUCAUUGGCAUUUAUGUCACAAGUACCUCCCAAUAACAACAACAGAAGGACUACAAACAGAGGUACAUCUGUGUGGCCCAAAAGAUUCAUUAGAAUUUAUGUCACAAGUACCUCCCAAUAACAACAACAGAAGGACUACAAACGGAAGUACAACUAUGUGGCCCAAAAGAUUCAUUGGAAUUUAUGUCACAAGUACCUCCCAAUAACAGCAACAGAAGGACUACAAACGGAAGUACAACUAUGUGGCCCAAAAGAUUCAUUGGCAUUUAUGUCACAAGUACCUCCCAAUAACAACAACAGAAGGACUACAAACAGAGGUACAUCUGUGUGGCCCAAAAGAUUCAUUAGAAUUUAUGUCACAAGUACCUCCCAAUAACAACAACAGAAGGACUACAAACAGAGGUACAUCUGUGUGGCCCAAAAGAUUCAUUAGAAUUUAUGUCACAAGUACCUCCCAAUAACAACAACAGAAGGACUACAAACGGAAGUACAACUAUGUGGCCCAAAAGAUUCAUUGGAAUUUAUGUCACAAGUACCUCCCAAUAACAGCAACAGAAGGACUACAAACGGAAGUACAACUAUGUGGCCCAAAAGAUUCAUUGGCAUUUAUGUCACAAGUACCUCCCAAUAACAACAACAGAAGGACUACAAACGGAAGUACAACUAUGUGGCCCAAAAGAUUCAUUGGCAUUUAUGUCACAAGUACCUCCCAAUAACAACAACAGAAGGACUACAAACGGAAGUACAACUAUGUGGCCCAAAAGAUUCAUUGGCAUUUAUGUCACAAGUACCUCCCAAUAACAACAACAGAAGGACUACAAACGGAAGUACAUCUGUGUGGCCCAAAAGAUUCAUUGGCAUUUAUGUCACAAGUACCUCCCAAUAACAACAACAGAAGGACUACAAACGGAAGUACAACUAUGUGGCCCAAAAGAUUCAUUGGAAUUUAUGUCACAAGUACCUCCCAAUAACAGCAACAGAAGGACUACAAACGGAAGUACAACUAUGUGGCCCAAAAGAUUCAUUGGCAUUUAUGUCACAAGUACCUCCCAAUAACAACAACAGAAGGACUACAAACGGAAGUACAACUAUGUGGCCCAAAAGAUUCAUUGGAAUUUAUGUCACAAGUACCUCCCAAUAACAACAACAGAAGGACUACAAACGGAAGUACAACUAUGUGGCCCAAAAGAUUCAUUGGCAUUUAUGUCACAAGUACCUCCCAAUAACAACAACAGAAGGACUACAAACAGAGGUACAUCUGUGUGGCCCAAAAGAUUCAUUAGAAUUUAUGUCACAAGUACCUCCCAAUAACAACAACAGAAGGACUACAAACGGAAGUACAACUAUGUGGCCCAAAAGAUUCAUUGGAAUUUAUGUCACAAGUACCUCCCAAUAACAGCAACAGAAGGACUACAAACGGAAGUACAACUAUGUGGCCCAAAAGAUUCAUUGGCAUUUAUGUCACAAGUACCUCCCAAUAACAACAACAGAAGGACUACAAACGGAAGUACAACUAUGUGGCCCAAAAGAUUCAUUGGAAUUUAUGUCACAAGUACCUCCCAAUAACAACAACAGAAGGACUACAAACGGAAGUACAACUAUGUGGCCCAAAAGAUUCAUUGGCAUUUAUGUCACAAGUACCUCCCAAUAACAACAACAGAAGGACUACAAACAGAGGUACAUCUGUGUGGCCCAAAAGAUUCAUUAGAAUUUAUGUCACAAGUACCAUCUGCCAGUAGUAAAGAACCGGUGGGAUCACAAUCCUGCAAAGGUAGUGGAAAAUGAGCACGCAAAAAUACUGUGGGACUUUUGAAUCCAGGCUGACAAAGUUUUGGAACACAACACACCAGGCCUCAUGGUUGUGAAAAAGAAAAAAGUUUGGAUUAUUGAUGUCACCAUACCAGGUGACAGUCGGAUUGACAAAAAACAACGGGAAAAACGCAGCCGUUAUCAGGACCUCAAAAUCAAACAGGCUCUGUCAUAAACCAGUGCAGGUGGUCCCAGUGGUAAUCGGCGCACUGGGUGCCGUGCCAAAAGAUCUCAGCUGGCAUUUGGAAACAAUAAACAUUGACAAAAUUACGAUCUGUCAACUGCAAAAGGCCACCUUACUGGGAUCUGCACGCAUCAUCCAAAAAUACACCAUAGAGUCCGAAACACUUGGGAAGUGUUCGACUUGUGAUUUUGUGAUACAAAAUCCAUCAUAUUUAUUUCGUUUGCUGUGUCAUACUGUCUUUGUGUCAAUAAUAAUAACAAUAGUAACAACUUAUUCUUAUAUCCCGCCCCAUCUCCCCGAAGGGACUCAGGGCAGCUCACAUGGGGACCAAGCCCAGAAUACAACAUCAAAUACAAAAUGCAUUUAAAACAUAUAAACAUAUAAAAUCAAAAGACAUAUAAAAUACAAUAAAAACAUACCUCCCAAGUCUCUCAAUGUUUGUUGAUAUAUAAUACUCACACACACACAAACACCCGAGUGUAUAUAUGCAUGCUAACCCAGGCAUGGGCAAACUUCAGCCCUCCGGGUAUUUUGGACUUCAAUUCCCACAUUUCCUAGCAGUCUACAGGCUGUUAGGAAUUAUGGAAGUUGAAGUCCAAAACACCUGGAGGGCCGGAGUUUGCCCCUGCCUGUGCUAACCUGUAUUUUAUGUGUGUGUUGAUUUGCCAGUUUGACUUACCUCUUUGGUGUGGGAGGAGCUAUAGACGUGAUUGUAUUGAGCAUGUUCAGACUCAGGACUCCAUUUUGUAUUCAGUAUGCCUUUAGUCUUCAGUGAAAGCAGGUGUAUGUGUCCAGACCUCAGUGGAGGUGGAUGAAUGUUGCUGUUUAGACUUCAAUGUAGAAAUAUGCUUAUGGACUUCAAUUGUUGUCAGAUUGAUCCCAAAGAGUGUGAAGGCCUGAGGAAACAUCAUUAGCACCCCUGAGCAUAUACUGGCAGGAUACGUCUGAAAUCUAAUUUGCUCAAUGGCAAAAACACCGGCACUGAAAUCAUAGGAAAAAGAGAGGAGUCUAUAAUGUCAUAUCACCAUUUGUAUUGAUUCUUCAGAACCCUUCUAUCAUCUGAAUCAAAUCUAUAACACAUUUCAGUUUUUGGUGUGUAACUUAACCAUCGGGUUCAUGGAAAUCCCUCAUUGCAGUUUAUUGCAGUAAAAAUGGUUCUUGUUAUUGGAUGUUGCUGACUUAUGGUGACCCUAUCAAAGACAAGAUUCUACCCACUGUCAUCUUCUGUCCCAUUGAGAUAAAUGAGUGCAAACGAAAGCAAUUGAAGGAAACUGAUGACAAAGAUGGAAAGCCGAAAGAAGAAACUAGGACAUUAGAAAGCAGCUGGGAAAGUGCGUGACAAAAAUUAUGCCUUGCAAAUUGGAGGAUAUGUUGAUGAGAAAAGACAUCCAAUGACCCCGGCAACACCGCAAGGUUUGGUGGAUGCAGUGUUAAGAUAUGGGUUGAAUGCAGCAGGAUAUGAAGAAUGUAUCUCAAACCCUGCUGCCAUUGCACAAUAAUUUAAUCUUAGACCAGGUUUAUUGUGAAAACAAGACACUAUAGAGUUGGAAAAGGUGCAGAAAAAGGCAAACAACAUACUUGUUGUUCAUAUUACAGCAUGUUUUUCAUAACCGAUCUUGUAUCUUUGGCUCCAAAAAUGAAGCAAAUUGCGAAUCACAUGCCACAACAUCCCAUGGACUCUGCUGUAGUGUGUAUCAUCUACCAUUACAAACAGAGUCUGCUGGAACAGAGAUGAGCAAAGCAGAACCUGGGUCUUGAAGCAAUUGGGAAAAAACAAGGUGGAGGCAAAACAAGGAAAAGAGACGCAAACAGCAUUAGCAGCAGGGCUGGAUGAACCAUCAAGCAAAAUAAACAUGUGUUUUGGGCAUCAAGGGAAGGAGGGAGCCAUGAAAAUUUCCAUUGCUGGAUUCAUCCUGGAAAAUAUGGUGAAAAACUGCAAAUGAUGCAGCUGAAUCAGGUUCCACAAAAGUGCUACCACAAUAAAAGACCUUGCAAUUACAAAAACUAGGAGAAUACUUUUUGAACAUACUGUAUAAAGUGGAAGUAUGCAAACAUAAAUAUUAUUUUCCAUCUUAUCGUAAUUUUUACUUCAUUCUUUUCUUUUACAGUUUACAAUUGUUUAUAAUUGAAAAUAGAUAUAAUAUAGGAAAGUAUUUAGUGCAUCUAAAGUUGUUAAUCCAACCCUGAUUAGCAGCUACAGUAAUGUGCAGAAAAAUGGAAGCAAAGCGGCGGGGGGGGGGGGGGGAUACCUUGGGACAUUGCAGAGAAUGUCGGAAUGGAAACUGAAACAUGAAGAGGAAACAGUGGCAGAGGGAGGUGUGGAGCCAGAGGUGGGUUAGGACUGAAAUCAGGGAACGAGUGAUUUGGGGAAAUUUGACAAAAUGGACAAGAUUAUGCCCUCCAAAAAAGAAUAGGUAACACAUCCCUGGCUGUAAAAGGAAAUUGGAUUAUCAUAGAAAAAAUGGAAUAAAUGGAGUAAUUUGAUUCAUAGAGAUAAUUACAAUGAGUUUGUGAUGCAAUCUAAGUGUACUGCUCCACGUAGAAUGCAAGUUUUUCCAUAAAUUGCCCUGAAGACAGUACAUGUUGGCAGGUUGUUGAAAUGUGUGAUUAAUACUCACCUCAGGCAAAAGUUCAGCAACUUCAAACUGGAUUGUGAAUUUGUUGUUUGUUAAUGAGACAUGUCACAUUUGUGAAUGGAAGAAAUGCAUGUGCUUGCACAAAAUGAGACUUCCAGAUGUUAGCCAUGCGCUUGGUGUCCUGGGUCAAAUUAAUCCUUUCAUCUGGUUUAGCACUUUUUCCUUAUCCCUGUUUUACAUGUCAUAAUUGUUUUCCUACCUGUGAGCAAUAUUAACACAUUCAAUAGUUAGAUGGAAAAAAUCACACAUGAUCUUGAAUCUCAUCUUCGAGAAACUCAGGAUAUAAAUCCAAUAAACAAACAAAAAAGAUGUGAAUGGGUGCAGCUGCUAAUAUUCUUGCUAACUGGACAUUUUUUAAAAAAUGUUGUACUCUUGCCCUGAGAUUCCUCCCUUCAGCUCUUUUGAGAGUUUUGAGGAAAUCUUUUCAAGGCAGUGUUUUGCUGUAUCCAUAAACAUGGAAGAGAAAGGCCAGGGUCCGUAACUCUGCUCCAGAUAUAUGGUAUCUGGGAAUCUUAGGAUUUGUUCACUCUUCACAUAUUGUAGAGGGACUACACUCUGAACAAAUAUUAUUGAGGGAGUUACUUCAGUAAGUCAUGAUAUUAAAACUUCAGUCUCUGAAGGAGAUAUUUGUGAAGAUGGUUAAAUCAUUAGUUUUCAUAGUCUGAGUCAAUCCAGACAACAACAGACCUCAGACUGCUGGGGUGGGGUUUAUAGAGAGAAGAAUAUAAAACUAGAGACACAUUUGUCAAACAGUUAAUAUAAAGCCAGUUAGAAAUAGAGAUACAUAAAAAGUAAUGAAAUCUUCAUAGGGAACAGUCCGAGAUAGGGCCAGUCAGAAACAGAGAGCUGACAAGGACCAGAUAGAAAAUUAAUUUGAUAGAAUGUAAGAGUGUGGAAAGAAUCCAGUGAAAGUGUUAAAUAUUUUGUAUUGCUUAUGAAUCCAUAAUAAUUGUUUAAGUUGCUAUAUAAUAAGCCUUUAAUGUGUCCUUUUUUACAUUACUUUCUGGAUAUCUUUUUAUAUAGGAUUUAUAAGAACAUUACUAAGCUGAGAUACUAAAUCCAGAGAGUGAUCUUAAGAGUCAAAGGGUAUGUUGGCUAGUAGGAGCCCAAGGGUUGGUAGUACUAGAAGCCCAACCUCCAGUGGGGAUCUUUCACAACAUUCUUCAGUCAGAAUGCAAUAGAUAUUUUAGUUCAUUUGAGUAAACCUUUUAAGCAAAAGUCUGAAGUUAAUUUCUCCUUUUAUUUUGAUGAUUUUUGGCAUUUCCUCGAUUUGUGGUAAGCAAUGACUCAUCAUCUGCCACAAACAGAAGCUGCCAAUUUCAUGCACCACACCCAUCCCAAAGAAAUGUGAUGGAAGAUGUUGAGUAAUGGUAGGCAAAACUAGCUACUUUGGCUUGUGGUGAAUGAGUCAUGCGGCUCAGUCUUGCUGGGUUCAGACAGUGGCUUGUUAGACCUAGGUCAAAUAAUAAAAUAGGAGCACUUCUUAGUGGUCAGAUUUGUGAAGAAGGCAAAGGCAAAUUCCCUUUGAGACUAUACAUGAAAGGUUUCUAUGGCCAGGGACUGAUCCCAUUCAUUGUCAGUGUCAGGUAAAAAAUGUAGUUAGCCAGUUACUAUAACUCAGUAUCCUGUUCAGGCCUGUAGCGAGGGGGGUGGUGGUUUAGGGGUUCAACCCCCCCCCCCCCGAAAUUUUUCAGGUUAUAAAAAAAAACCUGAAUUUUAACUGGUUAACCAAAUCCCCAUGCUAAGUCUAUGAGACACAAAACAUUAAGAGUCCCUCCAGGCACUAUUUCAAGCAGAUAUUGACAGGUUUGUAGCGGGGAGGGGUGUGUGCUAGGGGUUAACCCCCCCCCCUGAAAUUUUCAAAACCCCUCCCGAAUUUUUUUUCUGGCUACGGCCCUGAUCCUGUUGUUUUAAUGAUGCCACUUUUAGUUUGGAAUUUUUGCAAUUAUUACUGUUUUGCUUGGUUGCCGAUACAGACCUUUAUCUAGAAUUGUUUAAAAAAAAAUUUUUUUAGUUGUAUGCCAUCUGGAGUCCAGUUAAAAAUAAAAAGGCCACAAUAACACCAGUCCAAUUUCAUCAUAGAACCAUUUUGGUAGUUUAUAUUGCCUUAUAUUCCAAGUAUAGGAAACCCAUUUCAUCAAUGUAAAACUUGCCAGUGGGGGGUUGGCGAAUUGGCUUGUGAAGAGUGUGAAUGCCUCAAUGGUUCAGGGACACUUUCCAUCUAACCUUAAACAGGGAAUAUUAAGACCUAUCCUUAAAAAGGCAUCCCUGGAUCCAAUGGCAUUGAACAAUUAUCGGCCGAUUUCCAACCUCCCUGUUCUGGGCAAGGUUCUAGAGCGGGUGGUUGUCUCUCAGCUCCAGGGGUUCCUGAUGGAGACUGAUUGUCUGGAUCCAGCACAAUCUGGUUUCAGGCCUGUAUUGGACUGGAUGAGGACUAACACACUGAAACUUAAUCCAGACAAGACAGAUAUCCUCCUGGUCAGUCGUGCGGCCAAUCAGGGUAUUGGGUGGCAAACUGUGCUUGAUGGGGUUACACUCCCCCGGAAGUCACAGGUCCGCAGUCUGGGGGUCCUCCUGGACUCAGCACUGAUACUUGAAACUCAGGUGUUGGUGGUGGGAAAGACUUUUCACAGUUAAAGCUUGUGCGCCAACUGCAACCAUACCUCGAGAAGUCUGACUUGGCCAUGGUGGUCCAUGCCUUAGUUACCUCCAGAUUGGAUUACUACAAUGCAAUCUACAUGGGGCUGCCCUUGAAGACGGCUCGGAAACUUCAACUUGUACAGGCGGCCAGGUUGUUAACGGGAACGAAUUAUAGAGAACGGACAACCCUCCUAUUAAAACAACUCUAUUGGCUGCUGAUAAGUUUCUGGUCCCGAUUCAAGGUGCUGGUUAUCACCUACAAAACCCUAAAUGGUUCGGAUCCGGCUUAUCUUUGUAAUCGCAUUUCCUACUACAAGCCUGCACGGUCUCUAAGAUCUGUUGGGAAGGCCCUCUUCUCACUUCUGCUGCCAUCUCAAACAUGGUUGGUGGGAAUGAGGGAAAGGGCCUUCUCGGCAGUGGCUCCCAGUUCUGGAACUCCCUCCUGAGAGAAAUUAGACUAGCCCCCACCCUGGCCACAUUCCGUAAACAUCUGAAAACCUGGCUAUUUGAAUGCGUGUUUGAUUAAAUUGGCAUAAAUUGACGACUGUCCCUUACCUCCACCUAGACCUAGUUACUGCACUUCUUCUGGUCCAUUCAGUAGAGGCUAUAAGAUACUGUACACAGACAACAUUUGCCUUGCCCCCAGUGGAAUAUGUUCACUGCGCCUGACUAUUAGUUAUUGGCUUUGAGUAUGUUUUAAUGUAUUAUAUGUUUUAUGAUUUUAUGUUUAUAUGUUUUAAAUGUAUUUAAGUGAUUGUGUUUUACUGUGUAUUGCUGGGCUUGGUCACCAUGUGAGCCGUCCCAAGUCCCUUUGGGGAGAUGGGGCGGGAUAUAAGAAUAAAGUUGUUGUUGUUGUU